rnacentral:rRNA from 1 species
AUUGAACGCUGGCGGCAGGCCUAACACAUGCAAGUCGAGCGGAUGAGGGGUGCUUGCACCCCGAUUCAGCGGCGGACGGGUGAGUAAUGCCUAGGAAUCUGCCCGAUAGUGGGGGACAACGUUUCGAAAGGAACGCUAAUACCGCAUACGUCCUACGGGAGAAGGUGGGGGCUCUUCGGACCUCCCGCUAUCGGAUGAGCCUAGGUCGGAUUAGCUAGUUGGUGGGGUAAAGGCUCACCAAGGCGACGAUCCGUAACUGGUCUGAGAGGAUGAUCAGGCACACUGGAACUGAGACACGGUCCAGACUCCUACGGGAGGCAGCAGUGGGGAAUAUUGGACAAUGGGCGAAAGCCUGAUCCAGCCAUGCCGCGUGUGUGAAGAAGGUCUUCGGGUUGUAAAGCACUUUCAGUCGGGAGGAAGGGGUGCAGGUUAAUACCUUGCAGCCUUGACGUUACCGACAGAAUAAGCACCGGCUAACUUCGUGCCAGCCGCCGCAGUAA